UUUUAAAUUUCAUUUCAAAAGAGAUAAAUAUUUUUACCUUGAAGUGGAACUAUCCAAAUCUCAGUUUGUUUCUUUUUAUUAGAUGCAGGUGUCUUCAGCAUUUUCUCAUCUGAUGAAUUUUUCUACCCUUUUCAGUCACUAUAAAGUGUUACAACUUAAAUUUAGACGCAACACAUAAAUAGUAAUUGGAAAGGUACUGCCAUUGUAUGUGUUACGCAGAAACUAUAGUCGCCGUCACGUAAAAUUGGCACCAUGUUUUUUGUCAAAAUUUUCUUAAAUAUCGACCGCGUUUACUAAAGAUCAUGUUUUUCAAUUAGCGGAAUCAAAUAUCAUUCCAAAAAUCAACUACUGUCCUACCUUUUAUUGUGUUUGUACUGUAUAAUCCUGACCUUCACAUAAUCCAAGUUUAAUUUGUAUGGUGGAAUCCGACAUUGUUAUUACCGGAAGUGUUGCCGUGGAGUUCCACGUGCUCUCCAUUUUCUUGCGUCUCUCGGAGCUUUUCUUCAUCUUUACGUAAAAUGCGCGGGAAAUUGUAUCAUCAAUGACAAUGAUAUUACCGGAGAGUAACGAAUGUUAUGGAAUAAAGG
rnacentral:lncRNA from 1 species